rnacentral:rRNA from 1 species
UACCAAGGCUUACGGUUAGCCGGCCUGAGAGGGUGAUCGGCCACACUGGGACUGAGACACUGCCCAGACUCCUACGGGAGGCUGCAGUCGAGGAUCAUUUGCAAUGGGCGAAAGCCUGACAAUGCGACGCUGCGUGGAGGAUGACAGCCUUCGGGUUGUAAACUCCUGUCAUGGGGGAACAAUUGUCCCGGCACUAAUACUGCCAGGGCUUGAUGGUACCUCAAGAGGAAGCCACGGCUAACUCUGUGCCAGCAGCCGCGGUAAUACAGAGGUGGCUAGCGUUGUUCGGAUUUACUGGGCGUAAAGGGUGCGUAGGUGGUUUCGUAUGUCGGACGUGAAAUCCCAUUGCUCAACAAUGGAACUGCGUUCGAAACUGCGGGACUAGAGUACAGGAGGGGAGAGCGGAAUUCUUGGUGUAGCGGUGAAAUGCGUUGAUAUCAAGAAGAACACCGGUGGCGAAGGCGGCUCUCUGGAAUGUUACUGACGCUGAGGCACGAAAGCUGGGGGAUCAAACAGGAUUAGAUACCCUGGUAGUCCCAGCUGUAAACGGUGUGCACUUAGUGUGGGGAGUAUUGACCCUCCCCGUGCCGGAGCUAACGCGUUAAGUGCACCGCCUGGGGAGUACGGCCGCAAGGCUAAAACUCAAAGAAAUUGACGGGGGCCCGCACAAGCGGAGGAGCAUGUGGCUUAAUUCGAUGCAACGCGAAGAACCUUACCAGGGCUUGACAUGCAGCUGCACGUCCGCCGAAAGGUGGAAAGCCUUCGAGGGUGCUGCACAGGUGCUGCAUGGCUGUCGUCAGUUCGUGCCGUGAGGUGUUGGGUUAAGUCCCGCAACGAACGCAACCCUUGUGUUUAGUUGCUAUCGCGGGUGAUGAGCCCGCGAGCACUCUAGACAGACUGCCCGUACAAGCGGGAGGAAGGUGGGGACGACGUCAAGUCAGUAUGGCCCUUACGCCCUGGGCUGCACACGUGCUACAAUGGCCGGUACAGAGGGAUGCAAUACCGCGAGGUGGAGCAAAUCCUGAAAACCGUCCUCAGUUCGGAUUGGAGUCUGCAACUCGACUCCAUGAAGUCGGAUUCGCUAGUAACGGCGCAUCAGCUACGGCGCCGUGAAUACGUUCCCGGGCCUUGUACACACCGCCCGUCACAUCAUGAAAGCCGUCUGCACCCGAAGUCGCCGGGCUAAUCGCUCCCUCGGGAGGGAAGGCAGGUGCCGAAGGUGUGGGUGGUGAUUGG